rnacentral:rRNA from 1 species
UACGUAGGGUGCAAGCGUUGUCCGGAAUUAUUGGGCGUAAAGAGCUCGUAGGCGGUUCGUCGCGUCGGCUGUGAAAACCCGAGGCUCAACCUCGGGCCUGCAGUCGAUACGGGCAGGCUAGAGUUCGGUAGGGGAGACUGGAAUUCCUGGUGUAGCGGUGAAAUGCGCAGAUAUCAGGAGGAACACCGGUGGCGAAGGCGGGUCUCUGGGCCGAUACUGACGCUGAGGAGCGAAAGCGUGGGGAGCGAACAGG